rnacentral:rRNA from 1 species
AGUGAACGCUGGCGGUAGGCCUAACACAUGCAAGUCGAACGGCAGCACAGUAAGAGCUUGCUCUUACGGGUGGCGAGUGGCGGACGGGUGAGGCAUACAUCGGAAUCUACUUUUUCGUGGGGGAUUACGUAGGGAAACUUACGCUAAUACCGCAUACGACCUACGGGUGAAAGCAGGGGAUCUUCGGACCUUGCGCGACUGAAUGAGCCGAUGUCGGAUUAGCUAGUUGGCGGGGUAAAGGCCCACCAAGGCGACGAUCCGUAGCUGGUCUGAGAGGAUGAUCAGCCACACUGGAACUGAGACACGGUCCAGACUCCUACGGGAGGCAGCAGUGGGGAAUAUUGGACAAUGGGCGUAAGCCUGAUCCAGCCAUACCGCGUGGGUGAAGAAGGCCUUCGGGUUGUAAAGCCCUUUUGUUGGGAAAGAAAAGCAGCAGGUUAAUACCCCGCUGUUCUGACGGUACCCAAAGAAUAAGCACCGGCUAACUUCGUG